AAAUUGAAGAGUUUGAUCAUGGCUCAGAUUGAACGCUGGCGGCAGGCCUAACACAUGCAAGUCGAGCGGAAACGAGUUAUCUGAACCUUCGGGGGACGAUAACGGCGUCGAGCGGCGGACGGGUGAGUAAUGCCUAGGAAAUUGCCCUGAUGUGGGGGAUAACCAUUGGAAACGAUGGCUAAUACCGCAUGAUGCCUACGGGCCAAAGAGGGGGACCUUCGGGCCUCUCGCGUCAGGAUAUGCCUAGGUGGGAUUAGCUAGUUGGUGAGGUAAGGGCUCACCAAGGCGAC
rnacentral:rRNA from 1 species